ensembl:lncRNA
AUGCUCAGGAUGCGUCGCUCGCCGGCUCUGCGCUGUGUGUGUGUUUGUGUGCUGCUGAGUGUGUGCUGUCGAGCGUUUGAGCUGCAGGACACCAUCCACGCUCUGAUCGAGGAGAACAUCCACCUUCACGACCAGCUGGAGAACCUGACGAGAGCCCUGCGCGAGCUGCGACAGCUCCUGUUCCAGCACAGCGGCGAUCACACUCAUGAACACGAUGAGGAACUUCAGCAUCUCUGGGAGGAAUGGUCACAGCACAGCAUCACACCUGAGACUCACCUGCUGUUGGAACAUGCUCUCUGUGGACACGACCUACAUGGCUCCGCCCACUCCAGCUCAGGACACGCCCCCUUUAUAUUGAUCACUUUUAUAGUUCUUGCACACAUUCUUUUAUGAAGUGCAUAUGCAGAACUACAGCGUGACUGAGUCUAUUCAACUAUUUUACAUCAUUCAGAGCAGGUAGAUCUAAACCCAGUUCGAUCAACACUGACUGUCAGUCUUGGGGAAGGAUAAUACAGACUACAGAGUAGUUUAUCAGGUGAUAGAUUGAGGCCAGUGCAUGUGUUUUUUUCAACCGGGAACAUUAUACAUUCUUGCUAAAUAACAACAAACUUGAAAAUGUAAUGUGCUUAUAAACUUAUAUGUACGAGGUUUUUGUUUUGUUUUGUUUUGGUUUUUUGGCAUGUACUGUAUUUGUCAGCACUUCAUAAGUGCCAGUAAAGCAGGUAAAACCGUCUUCAGGUAAAAUACUAUUAAUCUUUGUAUAGAGAACGAGGUCAGAAGAGUUUUUUAAUGCAACUCAUUUUUAAUUUAAAUUGCUGCUGUUGCAACACAUUGGGUUGAAGAACUUGUUGAAGUGUUCAUUUGUAUUACACUCAACAAGCAAUCACUGUAAAUCAAGUCUAAAAUACAACAUAAAGGUUUUUAUUGAAAUAACCUGCUUGGUAAUGUUGCAUGUUUUUAAUAAAUGGACAAAUAAAUAGGCUACUUGUGGUAUG